CAGCACAGGAGAGCUUGCUCUCUGGGUGGCGAGUGGCGGACGGGUGAGGAAUACAUCGGAAUCUACUUUUUCGUGGGGGAUAACGUAGGGAAACUUACGCUAAUACCGCAUACGACCUACGGGUGAAAGCAGGGGAUCUUCGGACCUUGCGUUAUUAGAGCGGCCGAUAUCUGAUUAGGUAGUUGGUAGGGUAAAGGCCUACCAAGCCGACGAUCAGUAGCUGGUCUGAGAGGACGAUCAGCCACACUGGAACUGAGACACGGUCCAGACUCC
rnacentral:rRNA from 1 species